AACGUAGGAGGCGAGCGUUAUCCGGAGUUACUGGGCGUAAAGCGGAUGUAGGCGGUGGCUCGCGUCGGAUGUGAAAGCUCCUGGCUCAACCGGGAGAGGGCGUCGGAUACGGGGUCACUAGAGGGCAGCAGAGGAGCGUGGAAUUCCGGGUGUAGUGGUGAAAUGCGUAGAGAUCCGGAGGAACACCAGAGGCGCAGGCGACGCUCUGGGCUGCUACUGACGCUGAGAACCGAAGGCAUGGGGAGCGAACGGG
rnacentral:rRNA from 1 species